rnacentral:tRNA from 1 species
GCCCGCCUGGCGGAAUGGUAGACGCACCGGACUUAAAAUCCGUUGCCUUCGGGCGUGCCGGUUCAAGUCCGGCGGCGGGCA